rnacentral:misc_RNA from 1 species
GAGAUCCAUGACAACACUCUCAUGGAUCUUCUGCCACAAAUGUGCACGGAAUAUCUGUAUUAAAGAUAUCUUCAGAGUUGGAAUCUUCCCGUGCAUAAAUAUCCCAGUCAGAUCCAGUUGUACUUGGAAACCAACAUAGACAUUUGCCCUAUUUAUGGUUGGUGACCACCAAAGUGUAAACCUACGAUUUGGAAUUUGAUUAAGCCCAGAUCGUUGAGCAUUAGUCAGUUUCUUGUACUUCAUGGAUUCCUCAAAACCUGAAGCUUUCUCCCAGAAAAGUCCCUCCCAAGUAGGGAAAUAUGUUCCUUUGAAUAAUGUAUGCUCCAGAAUUCCUUCAACUCCUCCAAGAGCUUGAAUAACAUCAGUACGAUAAUUAUUCAGGUUCCAUAGCUUCCCAUCAUGCCUCUGGUGUGUCCACCAGAACGGAUUCUGCUUAAGAACUUGGUACUGCUUAAAAUCUGUUCU